GUGCCAGCAGCCGCGGUAAUACCGGCAGCUCGAGUGAUGUCCAAUAUUAUUGGGCCUAAAGCGUCCGUAGCUGGCUGCGCAAGUCCGUCGGGAAAUCCACUCGCUCAACGAGUGGGCGUCCGACGGAAACUGCACAACUUGGGACCGGAAGGCUCGAAGGGUACGUUCGGGGUAGGAGUGAAAUCCCAUAAUCCCGCACGGACCACCGAUGGCGAAAGCACUUCGAGAAGACGGCUUCGACAGUGAGGGACGAAAGCCAGGGUCUCCAACCGGAUUAGAAACCCGGGUAGUCC
rnacentral:rRNA from 1 species